rnacentral:rRNA from 1 species
GACGAACGCUGGCGGCGUGCUUAACACAUGCAAGUCGAACGGAAAGGCCUGCUUUCCCUUGUGGAUUGAGGGUACUCGAGUGGCGAACGGGUGAGUAACACGAGACGUAUCUGACCCCAACUUGGGUAUAAGCUAGGGAUACGGAGCCUAAUUUCCGAUCGGAUUGCAGUUUGGUGGCGGAUGUGGGAAAGGUUUUUCUUGUGGUUGGGGAUGAGCUGGCGGCGUGUGAUCUGGUUGGUGGGGUAGUGCCCGACCACGGGGGCGACGGGUAGCCGGCCUGCGAGGGUGGGCGGCAACAUUGGGACUGAGAGCCGGCCCAGAAUCGUGCGGCAGGCAGCAGUGCGGAGUAAUGCAGCAUGGGCGGAAGCCUGAUGCAGCGACGCAGCGUGAGGGAUGACGGCCUCCGGGUUGUAAACUCCUUUCGACCGCGAGGAAGCCACCUGGUUGGAAGGGUGGUGACGGUAGUGGUAGAAGAAGCACCGGCUAACUACGUG